rnacentral:rRNA from 1 species
GACGAACGCUGGCGGCGUGCUUAACACAUGCAAGUCGAACGAGAGGACAAAGAGAAGCUUGCACUUGGAUGGACUGAGUGGCGGACGGGUGAGUAACGCGUGGGUAACCUGCCUUAUACAGGGGGAUAACAGUUGGAAACGACUGCUAAUACCGCAUAAGCGCACGGUAUCGCAUGAUACAGUGUGAAAAACUCCGGUGGUAUAAGAUGGACCCGCGUCUGAUUAGCUUGUUGGUGAGGUAACGGCCCACCAAGGCGACGAUCAGUAGCCGGCCUGAGAGGGUGAACGGCCACACUGGAACUGAGACACGGUCCAGACUCCUACGGGAGGCAGCAGUGGGGAAUCUUCCGCAAUGGGCGAAAGCCUGACGGAGCAACGCCGCGUGAGUGAUGACGGCC